rnacentral:rRNA from 1 species
AACGAACGCUGGCGGCAGGCCUAACACAUGCAAGUCGAGCGCACUCUUCGGAGUGAGCGGCGGACGGGUUAGUAACGCGUGGGAACAUACCCUUUUCUACGGAAUAGCCUCGGGAAACUGAGAGUAAUACCGUAUACGCCCUUCGGGGGAAAGAUUUAUCGGAGAAGGAUUGGCCCGCGUUUGAUUAGAUAGUUGGUGGGGUAAUGGCCUACCAAGUCUACGAUCAAUAGCUGGUUUGAGAGGAUGAUCAGCAACACUGGGACUGAGACACGGCCCAGACUCCUACGGGAGGCAGCAGUGGGGAAUCUUAGACAAUGGGCGCAAGCCUGAUCUAGCCAUGCCGCGUGAGUGACGAAGGCCUUAGGGUCGUAAAGCUCUUUCGCCAGAGAUGAUAAUGACAGUAUC